rnacentral:rRNA from 1 species
CCCUGCCCUAUGAUUAGUUAAAUGGCUGCAGUAUCCUGACUGUGCAAAGGUAGCAUAAUAAUUAGUCUUUUAAUUGAAGUCUUGUAUGAAAGGGUUAAUGAGAUAUUAAUUUUAUUUUAAAUAUUUUUAAAAUUUAAUUUGUAAGUAAAAAAGCUUGCUUAAAUUUUUGGGACGAUAAGACCCUAUAGAACUUUAAUUUUAUUUUAAUUUAAAUUGUGUAUAGUUUAAUAAAAAUUUAAUUUCUAUAAUAUUUUAGUUGGGGUGAUUAAUAAAUUUGACUUUAUUUUAAUUUUUCAUUGAUUUAUGUUUUUUUGAUCCAUUUAUAAUGAUUAUAAGAAUAAGUUACCUUAGGGAUAACAGCGUUAUUUCAAUGGGGAGUUCAUAUCUAUAUUGAAGUUUGCGACCUCGAUGUUGAAUUAAGAUAAGAUUGAGGUGUAG